rnacentral:rRNA from 1 species
AGUGAACGCUGGCGGUAGGCCUAACACAUGCAAGUCGAACGGCAGCACAGUAAGAGCUUGCUCUUACGGGUGGCGAGUGGCGGACGGGUGAGGAAUACAUCGGAAUCUACUUUUUCGUGGGGGAUAACGUAGGGAAACUUACGCUAAUACCGCAUACGACCUACGGGUGAAAGCAGGGGAUCUUCGGACCUUGCGCGAUUGAAUGAGCCGAUGUCGGAUUAGCUAGUUGGCGGGGUAAAGGCCCACCAAGGCGACGAUCCGUAGCUGGUCUGAGAGGAUGAUCAGCCACACUGGAACUGUGACACGGUCCAGACUCCUACGGGAGGCAGCAGUGGGGAAUAUUGGACAAUGGGCGCAAGCCUGAUCCAGCCAUACCGCGUGGGUGAAGAAGGCCUUCGGGUUGUAAAGCCCUUUUGUUGGGAAAGAAAAGCAGCAGGUUAAUACCCCGCUGUUCUGACGGUACCCAAAGAAUAAGCACCGGCUAACCUCGUG